ACGAAGGGUGCAAGCGUUAAUCGGAAUUACUGGGCGUAAAGGGUGCGUAGGCGGUUCGUUAAGUCUGUCGUGAAAUCCCCGGGCUCAACCUGGGAAUGGCGAUGGAUACUGGCGAGCUAGAGUGUGUCAGAGGAUGGUGGAAUUCCCGGUGUAGCAGUGAAAUGCGUAGAGAUCGGGAGGAACACCAGUGGCGAAGGCGGCCUUCUGGACCAGUACUGACGCUCAUGCACGAAAGCGUGGGGAGCAAACAGGA
rnacentral:rRNA from 1 species